rnacentral:lncRNA from 1 species
CUUGAUCAAAAAUUGAAAAGUAAUAAGGUUUUAAUCAAUAGAGUAGUAAAAAUAAGGAUGAAACCUAAUUACUCCUUAAAAAAAAUAUUUUAUGUGUUUCAUAUUAUUUGUUAGUGUCCCAUGAGUUUGUUGGUGUUGGUUUGGUGAUUUUUCAAUAUUUAUCGGAAUCUAAAUAUUUUUAGGUUAAAAUAUUCAUAAAAUUAAAUUAGGGUAGUCCACAUAAUUUUUUUUUAAAGAAAAUUACUUUAAGAAAAAAAAAUCCUAAAUUCAUUUUUUUGUUGUAAAUAUUAUGUGGAUGGUCCACAUGAAUAGUUUGUUACUAUUUAUGCACAGUAUUUUCACUAUUCAUUUGUGGAAAAUUUGUAAAGUGAAUAGUGCUUUCUUUUGUUUAUAUAAAGGAAGAAGAGGAGAUGAAGUGAGGAGAGUUCACGGGAAAGAUGGGAAUGAAAAGAAAGAAAGAAAGAGAGGAAGGAAGGAAGAGGAAGAGAGAGAAGGAAGAGGAAGAGAGAAAAUAGAGGAAGAUGAGAGGAGAUAAUAGAGAGAGUUAUCUUUGUACUCCUAUUAUUUCAAAUUAUAAUGAAAGCACCACUGCUGCCCCGAGGACGUACUCUAGUCACACUGACUGUAGAGGAACCUCGUAAAUUUUGUGUCUUGUUUCAUUUAUUCCACUGCACCCACAGUCGAUUUUACAACACGUUAUCAGCACGAAAAGCUCUCAUGUCAGUGGAAAGCACAACACCAUAAAUCCGGUGAAGUAUUAUCUACCUCUCACCUCGGUCAGCUAAGAUCUCACAGAGUAGAGACGGCAAGCCAGACAUGUCAAACAGGGAAGAUCAUCUUGUUACAAAAAUCCAUCAACUUUUCUUUUAUCACUUUUUCCUUUAUCACUCUAACUAUUGAUGUGCUAAUCAUUAUCCAUGCUAGACCUGCAAUCUAUUUUCUCUUUCGUGGACAAGAAAGAUGGAGAGAUCUUACAGACAAACAAAGGUGCAGCAAAACAAGCAAAGGUAUGUCCAUUUUUCGUUUCUCCCACCGCGCCAGAAGCGCCCUACCGAAUUCCGGUGCGAAUUGAAAUUUCCAACAACCUGAAGUCCUCACGAGAUAAGAAAACUCGUACCUGACAACUGGUUUCCAGAGAUCCAGAAGAAUCUCAUUAGACUUGGAAACCCAGAUCGUGUCGUUCUCAAUGGAUCUCGAGGACCUCCAUAAAUCCUCAGUUGUCUGAGAUGGUGAUGGCAUGACUGACUCCACACAGGCCUCCAUCUCUUGUGCCUCCGUCAACCUCACUGUCAUCUAUGUCACUGUGGAGAGAUUCUUGUUUUGCGAUGCCAUGUUCUUUGGACCAUGCAAGAACAACGCCAGUCUCUGGUAGCCUUUUUGGAUUGAAUUGGUUUUGUGUAACCCCCACAACAACCCAGCUGGUACUGGGUUUUGAGACUGGUAGAGACAGACAAAGAAAAGGGGGAAGAUUAUGGAAUAUGCAUGGCACAAUCUGAAAAAGGCAAUAAUAUAUGAUACCAUUUGAAAAAGCAAGAAAUAAAUAAAUAAAAUAAUAAAAAGGGUUUUGGUGCUAUAUGAAAAAGGGUGGAAUCUUGUUGCAUAAUGCCGACACAACAUGUGAAUAAGAAAAUAAUAAAAUGAAAUAAAGGUAAAGGUUUUUGGAUGGUCUUACACCAUCUGAAAAGAAAGAAGAAAAUAUGUAUAUAUUUAUUUAUGUGAAUGAUGUUGGCUUAAAACACUUUCACAAGUUCUAUUUAUUUAAAGCAAUUUAUUUACAGUGGGUAGAAUUAUUACCCUUUGCUUUAAAAGCUUUGAUAUUUAUGUGCAUGGUGUUGGUUUAAAGCCCAUGUCACAAGUUUUAUUACUUUACAGCAAUUUAUUUAUCAUGGACGGUUUUACCGCCUACUGCUUUAAGUUUUGAUUUAUGUGAAUGGUGCUGAAUUAAAGCCCUUGUCACAAGCUUUAAUUUAUUUAUUGUUCAAUUUAUUUACUAUGGCUGGAAUUACCGCUUAUUGUUUUAAUUUAUUUAUUGUACUUAUCUUUUGUUACAAUGAGUAUAUAUAAGACCCAAAGUUCCUUGAUCAGAUCAGAACCUGCAGUUUCUUGAUCCUCAUCAUAUAAAAUGAUUGGACCCGAAGUUCCAUCAUACAAAAAGAUCAGGCAUGAAGUCAUUUGAUCCUGAAGAUCAGGACAUGAAAUUCCUUGAUGAGUACCGUAAGUUUAAAGUACCGCAAUGCCUCAACUUAACUAUAAUAAAUGACAUAAGAGUCUCAGUUCACAGACUAUUAAACAAGGACCAGAAGUUCCUCAUGUCCAUACUCAAAAUGGUUUAGCAGAAGCAUUUAUUAAGUGGGUGAAAUUAAUUACCAACGCUCUGCUCAUGAAAACGAAAUUGCCAAUUUUCUACAUGGGAACAUGUAAACUUUACAUGAUGCAUUAUUAAUUCGGUUGAGACAUAUUACCAACCAUCAAUACUUCUUAGUACAACUCGUGUUUGGGAACCAGCCAAGCAUUAUACAUCUACGAGUUUUUGGUUGUGUUAUCUAUGUGCCUAUUACACUGCCACAACGUACUGAAAUGAGACAUCAUCGCUGAUUGGGCUUUGAUGUUGAACAUUAUCUAUCAUUCAAUAUUUGUAACCCUUGACUGGGGAUAUGUCUACUGCAUGAUUUACGGACUAUGAUUUUGAUAAGACAGUUUUCCCGCCAUUAGGGGAGAAAAUAACAUCGUUCCAGAAGAACGAUGAGAAAAUAUCAUUCCAGAAGAAUGAUGAGAAACGACCGUUCCAGAAGAACGAAGAUAAUUUGUCUUAUUUUGAUUCACGAAACAAACAAUGAGAAAAUGACAUUGAAAUAAUUAAAUGAUGCAACGAAAGUGAUGAAAUCACAUAUACUUACUGCAAAUGUGCCUACAAGAAUUGAUGUCCCUGUUGGACAAAAUAAUGAGACAGUAAAUGAUUUAUCUAUUGCACACCUGAAGCGUGGCAGAUUUUUAGACUCAAAAGGUUCAGUUAUUCGAAAGAAGAAUAAUAUGGCACUACUGAACUAUUGCAUUCCCGAAGCAUAACUGUUGCAUGCCAGAAGCAUGACAGUCGCCGCAUGGAUACACGUCCCAGAUAGGACAAUCCACAGACAUAGGAAUAUUGAUGUCUCAUGCAUGAAGAAUGAUAGACGUAUAGGUUCCAAUGACUCAACUCCCGGAAGUGGAGAUUAAAAUCUAAGCUCUAUAAUGCUCAAGAGGAGGUUAUGAUCCACAUUCUCUAAAUUAUGACUAUCCUGGAAGAGAUAGCGUCAUGCCCUUGAAGAGGCAAUGGAUAUCCAAAGAAAUGAAAAGUUUUUAUUCAUGCGCAUGCACAUGAGAAUAUGGGAUCACGGAUUGAUGAUAACCAAUGGUAAUUUUGGUUUUUACAAGUAGCUACUAAAUUCAUCAAUGAGCCGUGUUAAUAUUGAGUCACGUUCUUUUGUUUGUCGACAAAAGAAAAAUUAUUGGCCAAAAUGGAGAAAGGCAAUUCCAUUACAAUUUUGUAAGAACGUGGACAAAUGAACCUAUAUAUAUAUAUAUUUGAAUACAAUACAAAUAGCCAAAAGAUGUUGAACCAAGGAGGUUACAUAUCGGCAUUUGUAAUACACUCACAUAAUAUGACACAAGGUUACUAAUUGAAACCUGAAAUUAUACUCUUGUAAACGAGUUCAUAUAAAUGGAGAAUUAUAUACGAAGGGUUGUGAGUCGCCCACAUCAUAUCUCCAUAAGUAAAUCCCUCAAGUAUACAUGGGAGCAAUAAACUCCAAAGGAAAAUGUGUCAUGAAGUGUAGAAAAUCCUUGAAGGAUUCAAAUUGCUUGAAGUAAGCCCCCGAAGGGUAAAGCAUAAAAUAUGUACUCAAUACCAAUGGAUGAUAUAAAUUGCCUUAGUGAGUAUUAUCAUUAUGAUAUUGUUGCAACAUACUAAAAUCUCUUGCAAGAGUCAAUGACAUUAAAUUAGAACUCUUGAAGAGUUGAUAAUAUUAAAUUGGGACUCCUGAAGAGUCUAGCAAAAUUAUAAAGUGUUGAAGGAAUUAUUGUCUCGAGCUGCAGAUUGAACAAUCUACCAACACGAAUCUUAUCCAUGAUAUUUAUGAUAUUAAAAGAACCAUAUGGAUUGAAGAUUAUGAGUUGAAUACUCAUAUGAUGAAGACACUAAGAAUAAUUAUUUAUCUUCGUGAGGGUAAAGAUAAAUUAAUACUUGGUCCAGAAGUACCACAUCUUAGUAAAGUAUAUGCUUUAUUGUAUUUGGCACAAUACAUUGAAUGAAAUAAAGCUUAUUUAUUAAUAUCUCCAAGAAAUUACAGAUAUGUACAUACACAUGAGUUAAAACAAACAAACAGGAUGGAGCCUUCACAAAAGUUGCUCAUGUGAAGCCUCAGUACUCGGAAGUACCCCAGAAGGGGGAGGCACUGGAGAUUGAUCAUGUGGCACCCCAGUACUUAGCAAAACACCAGAAGGGGAAGGCAUCAGUUGCUUUCGGAAUCUAGCAACAAACCUCUGGUGAUCACUUUGAAUCCGACUUUCAGAUCCCUGCAGUUGGUCGAGCUUUCUUUUCAUGCUCGUAGAGUAACUAUUUGCAAGCACGUGUAACACCCUAUUCUCGUGCUUGAGCCCGCUGAUCUCUUGUUUAAGACUUGCCACCUCCGCCAUCAAUGAUUCAACUUGGCAAGUUUGAGCAAGUAGGCGUUGGCCCAUAUUGGAAACAGAGCCAACACACUGAACACUAAGAGCCAAGGAGUCUUGAACAGCCAACUCUUCAGCCCGUUCUGAAAGGAUCUUGUUAUCCCUUGGAGUGAGAAGAUUCCUAGCUACCACAAUAGCGGUUAUGUUAUUUUUCAUCACAGAGUCCCCAACUGUGAGAGGACCAUUAGAAGAUAAGAAGGACGGGCGCCAUAUGUUAUCCUGACGCUGCUCGUUUGUAUCACUCAUAAGACUCAAAUCUAAGCAAAUGUUAGAUGGGCAAGUCAUUUUUCAAAAAUGAUGAAGGAAAAACAGAGGUCAAAUAAAAUUUCAGAAGUGCAAGAUAGAGGAAAUUUCUACAGGCAGCAACUUUCUGAGCAUACUCUUGAACACAAUUGAUGUUUCUAUAAAAGAAGAGGCAGCAGAGCCACUUGUUCAAAGAUCGAAGAGGCACCGCUCUCCGAAUUUCAAAAAGCCAGAUUUUCCUGAAUAAAGUUCGUUGGCAUUUUUCAGACGUAAUCCCAGCUUUUUCAGAUGUCGCGUGCAAUUUUGUCAAAGAUCUCUGACAAAGUUGAAAACGCGUAAAUAUUACUGUUCUAUUUACACCACAGUUGCUGACAAGAGUAAAAGCACAGCACCACCACUUGCUAUUGAGAAAUCUCUAUAUAUGUCGACCUCUGUUCUCCAUAACAAGGCAGACCCGCAACACUGCAAGAAUACCUAACUCUUCCUCAUCUUCGAGAAUGCAUCUUCAACAUAGCAUCUCGAAAUACUCAGUUUUCUUCCUCUUCGAGAAUACCUCUUCAAACAUGUCACACCAGAGCAAGAUUAUCACAUAUCUUCAGGGACCAGAGCAAGAUUAUCUCAUAUCAUGCAAUCUCCCUGUCCUUUCCUUUGUCCUUGUUCUUACCUGCAAAGACAAGGAUAAAGAAAGCAGUAUGUCGGAACCUCCACUCAAACUCCAGGUAAGGAACCGACUGCCUGGAACCUUUCCUGAUUGCUUACCUAGUAUUGCUCUCAAGUAGUCAUCUUCAACGGUUGGAGCUGGGUCUCUAGUCACCAAGAAGUGAUGAACCAUCCAAAUGCAAGGGUUUGCAUUCCACUUCUGCACCAGGGGACAAAUCCUACAAGAGAAGAUGCCACAUAUGCAUGGGGGGAAAAACAGGGAAAAUACCACUUAAGCAAUGGGAGCAAGUAAGACAAGUGAAAAUGAUACAUUGAAGCAUGUGAAGACAAGCGCAACAAAUACGUGUUGAUUCAUCCCCGACAAAGUCAAAAAUCACUUGCCACGUGAAGCUCUUCACGAUACAAUUUCAUUCAAGAUCAAGCCUCGAAAGUCCUUGAAGAAAUCACAAGUCCGAUUCAAGAUCAAGUGUCCACCACACUUGAAUCAAAUCUGCUCCAGAUCAAAGGAGUAAAUUCAGACCUUUGGAUGCAAGUCUAGCAGAAAGUCCUCUAACCCAGUUCAAGAACAAGCCUGUGGAAAGUUAACAACAAGUAAAGCACAUCUUUCAACAACUCUUUUCUCUAAAGAGAUUGAAGCAGAAUGAUCAACGAUCAACCUAAAUGAUUUGAAAUCAGGGGGAGAUACUCAUCAGGGGGAGCAUCCAAGACAGAUCAAGAUUUUAACGAGUCAAUCGAAGACUUGUGGCCAUCCAAGAGGGAGUGUUGUAAAUAUUAUGUGGAUGGUCCACAUGAAUAGUUUGUUACUAUUUAUGCACAGUAUUUUCACCAUUCAUUUGUGGAAAAUUUGUAAAGUGAAUAGUGCUUUCUUUUGUUUAUAUAAAGGAAGAAGAGGAGAUGAAGUGAGGAGAGUUCACGAGAAAGAUGGGAAUGAAAAGAAAGAAAGAAAGAGAGGAAGGAAGGAAGAGGAAGAGAGAGAAGGAAGAGGAAGAGAGAAAAUAGAGGAAGAUGAGAGGAGAUAAUAGAGAGAGUUAUCUUUGUACUCCUAUUAUUUCAAAUUAUAAUGAAAGCACCACUGCUGCCCCGAGGACGUACUCUAGUCACACUGACUGUAGAGGAACCUCGUAAAUUUUGUGUCUUGUUUCAUUUAUUCCACUGCACCCACAGUCGAUUUUACAACA